CGAGACCUUCAGGAGACACAAAGCCGGGGGUGGCAGAGCCCAGCGCCUCCCUGCUGCAGUCACAGCUCAGCUUGCCCAAACGGGAGGGCUCAGAGCUCCUUCACACUGACCUGUGUGUGCUGGGACCAGUGCUCCCGUGCCUCCCAGUGCGGGUAUACUGGGCCAUACUGGGUCUGUCCCAGGAUCCUGUCCCCACUCUCCCACGGGAUGCUGGCAGCGUGGCUGUCCCCCUGUACCCACCCGGGGCCCUUCUCCUUCCCACGAGCUCCCCAAGGACACGACCUUGCCCCCUGCGUCGCCCACGCCACGCAGGCCUGGGGACCUCCUGGUGACAAGGACACCCCGCGGGGGGGCUGCCAAGGUCACCGCUGGGCACGGGGAGGGGGGAUCCCCAAAAACACCCCCCUCCCCAAUCCUUCACAAACCCAUAGCGGGUCCCUAAGAGAGGGGGGACCCGGCCCCGCUCCGUGCCCAAGGUGUCCCGGGGGGGCCGGGACUCCCCGAAAAACAGCGACCCCCCCGGGCUGGGGAACGGGGACAGCCGGGCCCGGCCACGGGAACCCUCCGGGGCCGGGGGAAGGCUCCGAGUUUCGGCUCCCCCAGCCUGAGGGGGGGGUCUCCCCCCGCGGCUCUCCCCUCCCCAAAUCCGCCGCGGUUUGGCGGGGCCGGAGCGGCUUUGCGCGGAGCCGCCUCCCCCUGCAGCUCCCCGGUACCGGGGGCCCCUCUGCGCCUUCGGGACUUCAUUUUUUUGUCCCCCUCCCGACGCUCGUUUGCCUCGAAAACCCCGCAGCGAGGGCUCCCGGAGCGAUGCGCAUCCCUCCGGGGCUUCCCCAAAAAAAACCACCCCGGGUUCCUGCGGGACCGGGAGCCGAUUUCCAGCCUCGUACGGCACCGGGAGAGCCGCGGUGGCGGGGCACCACCCUCCCCCUUUCAUUUUAUUUUUAUUUCCCCCCCCCUUUUUUUUUUUUUUUUCCCUCUCCCUCCCCCCCCAUCUCUUCUUCUUCUUCUUCUUUUGGGGUCGCCCCUCGAGGCGUGGCGGGGCCGGUGCGCGCAAGGCAGGAGAGCGGGGAGGAAACUUAUUUCGAGUGGGGUGGAGAGGGGAGGGCAGGGGGUGGGGGUCGGGCAGGGAGGUAUCAGCUCCAGGAAAUGUGUCUUGGCAGCAGUCGGACGGGCGCUUCCCCGCAGGUCGCUGCGCUCCGCUCCGGAGCCGGCCAAGGGCGCAGCGGCUCCCCCGGCACCCCUGGAGGAGGAGGAGGAGGAGGAGGAGGAAGAGGAGGAGGAGGAAGGGGGCAGCAGGCGGCAGGGCCCCCACUUUUAGAGCCGCUGCUUGAGGAUCAGGGGGUUCCCCCCCGAGGGCUCCUCUUCCUCGGGCUCCCCGGGGGAGGAAGGCUCCGCAGGUAAGCGGCCGAGC
rnacentral:lncRNA from 1 species